AGUUGCAAGGAGAAGGUGGGAAGAGAAGGAAGAGCGGGUGGACUUUGAUGUGAUCCUGUCAUUACCAAUACCGUUACCUAUUCCACAGCCAAGAAAUGUCAGGGACCAUCAGAGCUCAAGAGAUCCUGCAGUAUUUACUUCAGAAACCUUGCUUUUUCCUGCUAAAGACCAACAAAUUCUAUCUUUGAGAAUAUACCUAGAAGAAUGGAUUUCAAAACCACACUCUUCCUAACUAACCCAAAGAGCUAAGAACCAAAAAGGACUUUGUUUCAGGAAGAAUACGCUACAAGUCACGCUAGUCACAUGGCAUUAGCAUUCUGGCAAAGAUAAAUGAUAUUUCCAACUGCAUCAAACAUUUAAUAAACAGUAAAUUCUGCUUUCUGCCUGUGGGUGAAUCAAUGGUGUCCUUCAGUGAAAGGCUCGUCUCUCCAACUGUCAGCCCCGCUGGCUGAACUUUUCCGCUAUCUUCUGGAGUUCCAGAUCCAUCGCAGCCAAGUUCUCCAGUUCCUUUUUC
rnacentral:lncRNA from 1 species